GGCAGCGUGGCCGAGUGGUUAAGGCGAUAGACUAGAAAUCUAUUGGGGUAACCCGCGUGAGUUCAAAUCUCACAGCUGUCG
rnacentral:tRNA from 1 species